AAGCUACAGCUGUGUUUAUCACGUCCAUGUUUUCUCUCAUAACUUCUCCUCUGAGAGCCGUCAGCUCUCUCUCACUGUUGUUGAUCCAAGACCUUUUAUCAUCAGAACGGUCGUUCUGUCACUGAUUCUGCUGGUGGCGAACAUUGCCUCUUACUUCUAUUUUAAGACCCACAGGGUCUACAGGGUGCAGAAGCCCCGCAGACGGGAGGACGUGGAGCUGGAUUAUUAUAACCUGGGUGUUCCUGCAGCAGA